rnacentral:rRNA from 1 species
AUGGUCUUUGCCGGUGUACGUAGAGGUGAUCUAUACAUUGUUGAUUUCACUAAAAAGGCUCAACCUAGAACUUGCUUUAUUGCUAAAUCUUCUAAAGGUUGGUUAUGGCAUAGACGAUUAGGUCAUGUUGGCAUGCGAAACCUUGACAAGCUUAUUAAAGGAAAUCAUAUCCUUGGCGUUAACGAUGUCAUAUUUGAUAAGGAUAGACUUUGUCGCGCUUGUCAAGAAGGUAAACAGGUUGGAGGAAGGCAUCCCGUGAAGAACAUCAUGACCACUAGGAGGCCACUCGAGCUACUUCACAUGGAUCUUUUCGGUCCCAACACCUACAAAAAUCUCGGUGGAAAUUAUUUUGGUCUAGUUAUAGUUGAUGAUUUUUCAAGAUUCACGUGGGUGUUCUUUCUCAAUGAUAAAUAG